rnacentral:misc_RNA from 1 species
UCCGAGUUGACCCCGGCAGUCUCUCACGAGUCCCCACCAUAACGUGCUGGCAACAUGAGACAAGGGUUGCGCUCGUUGCGGGACUUAACCCAACAUCUCACGACACGAGCUGACGACAGCCAUGCACCACCUGCACACAGGCCACAAGGGAAUACCUAUCUCUAGGCACGUCCUGUGCAUGUCAAACCCAGGUAAGGUGGGGAUGACGUACCAGUAUCGGAA